GGAAAGGUGCAAGAGUGGUUGAAUUGGCACGCCUGGAAAGCGUGUGUACCGGUAACGGUACCGCGGGUUCGAAUCCCGCCCUUUCCG
rnacentral:tRNA from 1 species